rnacentral:rRNA from 1 species
CAGCCGCCACGGUAAUACAGAGGAUGCAAGCGUUAUCCGGAAUGAUUGGGCGUAAAGGGUGCGUAGGCGGUUUGACAAGUCUUAUGUGAAAUCUCUGGGCUCAACCCAGAGUCUGCAUGGGAAACUGUCGGGCUUGAGUAUGGGAGAGGUGAGUGGAAUUUCCGGUGUAGCGGUGAAAUGCGUAGAUAUCGGAAGGAACACCUGUGGCGAAAGCGGCUCACUGGACCAUAACUGACGCUGAUGCACGAAAGCUAGGGGAGCAAACAGGAUUAGAUACCCGGGUAGUCCCUGUCUCUUAUAA